rnacentral:rRNA from 1 species
UACGUAGGGGGCGAGCGUUGUCCGGAAUCAUUGGGCGUAAAGCGCGUGUAGGCGGCUCGGUAAGUCUGCUGUGAAAGUCCAGGGCUCAACCCUGGAAUGCCGGUGGAAACUGUCGAGCUUGAGUCCGGAAGAGGCGAGUGGAACUCCUGGUGUAGCGGUGAAAUGCGCAGAUAUCAGGAGGAACACCAAUGGCGAAGGCAGCUCGCUGGGACGGUACUGACGCUGAGACGCGAAAGCGUGGGGAGCAAACAGG